UAAUGAGGCCAAGGGAGCCCGGCUCCUUUCUGCCCCCAGGCAGGUGAGAAAGAAAGAACGGAGACGAAAGAGGGCCCGCUGUGUCUACUCCUCUGGAAUAUCUGAGGCUAAGUCCCAAGCUAGAAUUUCCCAUCUUCUUUCUGGCCUUGGGAGAUUUUGCAUCUCCUUCCAGGGAAGGAAGCCUGACUUCUGAAAUGAUUCUCACGAAGGAGAAGUGCUCCGUUCUGCAGUGAGCCUGGCCAGGGGGGCCACACCACAGACUCCCAGGAGGCUUCUGCUCUGCGUGGUUCUUCUGCUCUCGUUUCCUUAACGAUUGGGCCAGAGCAUCUCUGCUCUUGUAAAAUAGCAGGCAAUUAGAUCUCGAAGUCUUUGAAGUGGGCAGAUUCACCAGGCGUUGGACUGAAGUUUCUAUUUGUCCUGGCACUGAGAAUAGCAAAGGAACAGGGGGACUGAACUGGUAUGGAAAGAGGCAUAGAGAGGUGAAGUCUCUUGCUGAUAUCUUCUAGACCGGGCUGGCUGCAGGGUCUGUUGCUCUCAACCAGAGGAAAUAGAACCAUGAAAGAACAAGGUAGGGUUUUCCUCCUUCUGCCAAACUGAGAUUCACAAAGUGGACUCUAGCAUUCUUCCUCUCUGCCAUUCCCUCCCACCAAAUUUACACCUGGGGAAACAGUGGCCCAGAGAGGGAAGGAGACCUUCCUACAAUCUCAGAGUCAAUUGGGGGCAAAGCUAGGACCAGAAUGCUGCCUCUCAACUCCCCCUCUCUCUCUCUCUCUCUCUCUCUCUCUCUCUGUCUCUCUCUCUUUCUUUAUUUCUCUCUCUUGUUGUUCACUCUCCAGGGAGCCAGUUGCCAUGUCAUGGGGAGGACACUCAGGCAGCCCCGUGGGGAGACUCAUGUGAGGAGGAACUGAGAUGUCUUGCCAACAUCCAUAUGAGGGAGCCAUCUUGUAAAUGAAUCUUCCAGUCCCAAUCAAGUCUUCAGAUGACCAGAGCCUCAGCUGAUAACUUGGCUGCAGCCUCAUGAGAGAUCCUGAGCCAGAACCACUCAGCCAAGGUGUUCCUAGAUUCCUGCCUCUCAAAAACUGUGUGAGAUAAUAGAUGCUUAUUGUUUAAAGUUGUUUAGGGUAACUCAUUGUGUAGCAAUAGAUAGCUGAAAC
rnacentral:lncRNA from 1 species